UUUCCGUAGGUGAACCUGCGGAAGGAUCAUUAAAGUGCCAGCGGGACACCCCGCUAAAGGCCCCACACUUGUCUACCGAACCACGUUGCCUCGGCGGGACCGCCCCCUAGGGGGCCGCCGGGGGGGACUUACCUCCCCCCUGGUCAGCGCCCGCCGGAGGACAAAUAACCAAACCCUUGUAACAGUGAGUUGUCUGAGCGAUUAUUUAAAUGAAUCAAAACUUUCAACAAUGGAUCUCUUGGUUCCG
rnacentral:misc_RNA from 1 species